rnacentral:rRNA from 1 species
GACGAACGCUGGCGGCGUGCUUAACACAUGCAAGUCGAACGAUGAAGCCGGAGCUUGCUCUGGUGAAUUAGUGGCGAACGGGUGAGUAACACGUGAGUAACCUGCCCUUGACUCUGGGAUAACUGCGGGAAACUGUAGCUAAUACCGGAUACGACCCUCGGAGGCAUCUCCUGGAGGUGGAAAGAAUUUCGGUCAAGGAUGGACUCGCGGCCUAUCAGCUAGUUGGUGAGGUAAAGGCUCACCAAGGCGACGACGGGUAGCCGGCCUGAGGGUGACCGGCCACACUGGGACUGAGACACGGCCCAGACUCCUACGGGAGGCAGCAGUGGGGAAUAUUGCACAAUGGGCGCAAGCCUGAUGCAGCAACGCCGCGUGAGGGAUGACGGCCUUCGGGUUGUAAACCUCUUUUAGCAGGGAAGAAGCGAAAGUGACGGUACCUGCAGAAAAAGCACCGGCUAACUACGUGCCAGCAGCCGCAGUAA